GACGAACGCUGGCGGCGUGCCCUAACACAUGCAAGUCGAGCGAGGAGAAGUUCCUUCGGGAACAAACCUAGCGGCGGACGGGUGAGUAACACGUGGGCAACCUGCCUUGUAGAGGGGAAUAGCCUUCCGAAAGGAAGAUUAAUACCGCAUAACAUUACAGUUUCGCAUGAAACAGUAAUUAAAGGAGCAAUCCGCUACAAGAUAGGCCCGCGGCGCAUUAGCUAGUUGGUGAGGUAACGGCUCACCAAGGCGACGAUGCGUAGCCGACCUGAGAGGGUGAUCGGCCACAUUGGGACUGAGACACGGCCCAGACUCCUACAGGAGGCAGCAGUGGGGAAUAUUGCACAAUGGGGGAAACCCUGAUGCAGCAACGCCGCGUGAGUGAUGAAGGUUUUCGGAUCGUAAAGCUCUGUCUUCGGGGACGAUAAUGACGGUACCCGAGGAGGAAGCACCGGCUAACUCCGUG
rnacentral:rRNA from 1 species